rnacentral:rRNA from 1 species
UCCAGACUCCUACGGGAGGCAGCAGUGGGGAAUAUUGCACAAUGGGGGAAACCCUGAUGCAGCGACGCCGCGUGAGUGAAGAGGUAUUUCGGUAUGUAAAGCUCUCUCAGCAGGGAAGAAAAUGACGGUACCUGACCAAGAAGCCCCGGCUAACUACGUGCCAGCAGCCGCGGUAAUACGUAGGGGGCAAGCGUUAUCCGGAUUUACUGGGUGUAAAGGGAGCGUAGACGGCUGUGCAAGUCAGAAGUGAAAGCCCGGGGCUCAACCCUGGGACUGCUCUGGAAACUGCGUCGCUGGAGUACGGGAGGGGCAGGCGGAAUUCCUGGUGUAGCGGUGAAAUGCGUAGAUAUCAGGAGGAACACCGGCGGCGAAGGCGGCCUGCUGGACCGUGACUGACGUUGAGGCUCGAGAGCGUGGGGAGCAAACAGGAUUAGAUACCCCGGUACA